GGCCCCAAACUGAGAGGCAUAAGGGUUGUGGUGAGAAAAAGAGGAAAAGUGGCCAGCACUUGUGCCCUAUUUGCAAGGAAUACGGGCACCAUUGGCAUAAGUGCAAGAAGGGUAACAAAGAUGACAUUGCUGCUUUCAUGGCUGUGAGAGAACCACCAAAGAAGAGGAGGAAGACUACUAAAACAUCCGAGUCAUCCAUGUGCCAAGAGGUGAUGACGCGCCGGCAGCCGCUAUGUAUUUUCCACCAAGCCAAAACUUGGAAACUACAACCAAGAAGAAGGGAAAGCAUAACCAAACAUUGGAGACUACAAACAAGAAAAAUGCAAAAGGGGGGAAAAGGGCCACAAGGAAGAUGGAGCUUGCUAAAAAGGAUCAAAACAAUCUGAUGGUUCCAUUUGACAGCCCUGCAAUGGGCACUAGAAGCAAAAGAGCUUACCCAACUAGCCCCGCAAUGGGCACAAGAAGCAAAAGGCGGCUCAGCUUGUGAACUCCAUCUAAUUUCUUUCACUUAAUGUCACUUUUGUUGCUGCUCAUGUCAUGUUGUGUGGACUUGGAGUAAUGUAUGUGAACCUGGGUAUGA